CACUUCCCGGUAAACACACCCCCCCCACCGGCUGGGCCAAGUUAUGUGGCCUCCGCUUCCUAUAAUAAUAAUGUUGCCUGGUUCUAAACACCUAACACAACCCAGAAAGAAAAAAGAAAUCAAACCUUGAAAAUUGCACUGAUUUCAAAAAGCAGUAAACCAAAUACGUAGCAGGUCAGUUAUUUACGUCACGCAGCAAACAUUCCCGCAAAACCUCCGCGAUCUUCUUGACAGCUGUCAACGGAUGACUGCUGACAUCCACACAUAUCGCUGCAUGUUCGGGAAAACUACAUUAUUUAUCCAGUGAGUAGUGAUUCAAAAAAAAAAACAAUGACAGUGAGUGAGCAGUAAACAAAAAUAGUAAUCGAUUAGUAAACCCAAAUUCAGACACGUCUGAUUACUUUUAAGACACGCAACAGUCAUACGAUACGCAGCCUUGAACAGCCUGCAUUUAAAUUUAGCAGUCGAGAAGAAAUAUUUAAACCACAAUGAAUCGUCCGGUUCUGCCAGUGGCUUCUGAAAAGCACUAUUUAAAAGGCCAUAGAGGAGUGACACACAAAUGGCAGUGAUUUCAGAGCGAUGAGUCACCUGAAACUAUAAACCGCGGGGGGACGCCGCACAUUCCGACACCACGUGGCCUCUCCGUUCGGCCGCACGCGCCUCAUUAUUGUAAGAGACAAAUCAUGUUUUGUGCGAACUGCGAGUUCGACAACAAGCGCGUUAUCGACACCUUCGGCUUCGGCGACACUUUUGAAAAGCACUUUAACUUCGUACUCUGAAAGACUGCUCGUCAAAAAGUUCGAGAAAAAGUUCUCCCAAAUACGUCAUCAAACCGUGCGCCGGUAUCCAAAUACAUACAGAGAGCAGAGAAACAGAAUAACAACCGGUAACGGGGAACCGGAGCCUACCCGGCAACACAGGGCGUAGGGCCAAGGGGGGAGGGGACACACCCAGGACGGGACGCCAGUCCGUCGCAAGGUACCCCAAGCGGGACUUGAACCCCAGACCCACUGGACAGCAGGACUGCAGUCCAACCCACUGAUUUACGUAAAUCAAUGGCUGUUACUUGCUGAAACUCUCAAAAUGAUAAGAUGCUGUUCUCCCAUGUCUUUUGUGAAGAUUGUCCAAAUUACAUUUAUGGAUAUGAAAAAACUGCUUUGUGAGCGAAAAUGCCACUUUUAAGUCAGG
rnacentral:lncRNA from 1 species